rnacentral:rRNA from 1 species
GAUGAACGCUGGCUACAGGCUUAACACAUGCAAGUCGAGGGGAAACGACGGGGAAGCUUGCUUCCCCGGGCGUCGACCGGCGCACGGGUGAGUAACGCGUAUCCAACCUGCCUCUGACUGAGGGAUAACCCGUCGAAAGUCGGCCUAAUACCUCAUGGCAUCGUCUGCGGGCAUCCAACGACGAUUAAAGAUUUCAUCGGUCAGGGAUGGGGAUGCGUCUGAUUAGCUAGUUGGCGGGGUAACGGCCCACCAAGGCGACGUUCAGUAGGGGUUCUGAGAGGAAGGUCCCCCACAUUGGAACUGAGACACGGUCCAAACUCCUACGGGAGGCAGCAGUGAGGAAUAUUGGUCAAUGGGCGAGAGCCUGAACCAGCCAAGUAGCGUGCAGGAUGACGGCCCUAUGGGUUGUAAACUGCUUUUAGGCGGGGAUAAAGUGAGGGACGUGUCCUUCAUUGCAGGUACCGCAUGAAUAAGGACCGGCUAAUUCCGUG